rnacentral:lncRNA from 1 species
ACUAUUUCUCCACCCAGGGCACGGGUUUGAGCUUCUUGCCUUCCCCGCUGCUCCCCGCCGCGCUCCUCUCCUUGGCGGCGGGAGGCUUGCUGCUGAUGGAGGACGGGCCUUUGAGGAAGGCCUGCAUGGCUGUGGCUGCGCCCGCCCCAGUUCCUCUCCGUCCCCUCGGCUCCGCGCGGCCGUUAAGCCCAGCGCAUCACAACGCGCGCAAGCCCAUCGCCGCGCGCACCCCGCAACAACUUCCCGCCAAGCCGCCGCCACUCAAGGCGAAGCAGAGCCACUUCCGCCUGCUGAGAGCCAAUCACAGCGCCCCACCCGGCGGAGUGGGCGGGCCGCCGGCAGUGCUGCGCAUACGCCGCUGUCUGAGGAUCGUGAGGUCCUCCAUCCACACUUGAACUCUGCUAUCUUCCAAAUACUUCAUCUCAUUUCACCUCCAGUUGAAGCAGAUCCAACAGCUCAGUGAGAUGAUCCAAUACAUUGCACUACUAUGUCAGCAAACAGGAGGACAGAAGAAUGCUGCAGUUACGACUGUCCAG